rnacentral:lncRNA from 1 species
UGUUUAUAGAUAUAGGAAGAUGUGGUGUGAGUGCCAAUGAGACAACUCUCCAUACAAAUAACAAUUUAAAAAAAGUAAACCAUUAUAGGUCAAUGUACGGCCUUCAACACGGAACCUUGGCUCACACCGAACAACAAGCUAUAAUGGGCCCCAAAAUUACUAGUGUAAAACCAUUCAAACGGGAAAACCAACGGUCUUGUCUAUAUAAAAUUAAAAAAAAAAAAAAAUCGAGAAACACGUAUAAAUUACAUAAACAAACGAAAACUACUGUACAUCAGAUUCCUG